rnacentral:tRNA from 1 species
AAAAUUUUAGUUUAAUUUAAAAUUUUUUUUUUACAAAAAAAAGUUAUUAAUUAAUUUAUUAAAUUUUA